UGGGGAAUAUUGGGCAAUGGGGGAAACCCUGACCCAGCAACGCCGCGUGAAGGAAGAAGGCCCUCGGGUUGUAAACUUCUUUUACCAGGGACGAAGGACGUGACGGUACCUGGAGAAAAAGCAACGGCUAACUACGUGCCAGCAGCCGCGGUAAUACGUAGGUUGCAAGCGUUGUCCGGAUUUACUGGGUGUAAAGGGCGUGUAGGCGGAGAUGCAAGUUGGGAGUGAAAUCUAUGGGCUCAACCCAUAAACUGCUUCCAAAACUGUAUCCCUUGAGUAUCGGAGAGGCAAGCGGAAUUCCUAGUGUAGCGGUGAAAUGCGUAGAUAUUAGGAGGAACACCAGUGGCGAAGGCGGCUUGCUGGACGACAACUGACGCUGGGGCGCGAAAGCGUGGGGAGCAAACAGGAUUAGAUACCCUGGUAGU
rnacentral:rRNA from 1 species